rnacentral:rRNA from 1 species
UACAGAGGUCUCAAGCGUUGUUCGGAUUCAUUGGGCGUAAAGGGCGCGUAGGCGGUCCUGUAAGUCCUGCGUGAAAUCCCCCGGCUCAACCGGGGAACUGCGCGGGAGACGUGGCGGGCUGAGUUCGGGAGAGGGAAGCGGAAUUCCGGGUGUAGCGGUGAAAUGCGUAGAUAUCCGGAGGAACACCGGUGGCGAAGGCGGUUCUCUGGGCCUUACCUGACGCUGAGGAGCGAAAGCGUGGGGAGCGAACAGG